rnacentral:rRNA from 1 species
AGACGUACUUGUACUGAUUGAGAUUUUAACACGAAGUGAGUGGCGAACGGGUGAGUAACACGUGGGUAACCUGCCCAGAAGUAGGGGAUAACACCUGGAAACAGAUGCUAAUACCGUAUAACAGAGAAAACCGCAUGGUUUUCUUUUAAAAGAUGGCUCUGCUAUCACUUCUGGAUGGACCCGCGGCGUAUUAGCUAGUUGGUGAGGUAAAGGCUCACCAAGGCAGUGAUACGUAGCCGACCUGAGAGGGUAAUCGGCCACAUUGGGACUGAGACACGGCCCAGACUCCUACGGGAGGCAGCAGUAGGGAAUCUUCCACAAUGGACGCAAGUCUGAUGGAGCAACGCCGCGUGAGUGAAGAAGGGUUUCGGCUCGUAAAGCUCUGUUGUUAAAGAAGAACGUGGGUAAGAGUAACUGUUUACCCAGUGACGGUAUUUAACCAGAAAGCCACGGCUAACUACGUGCCAGCAGCCGCGGUAAUACGUAGGUGGCAAGCGUUAUCCGGAUUUAUUGGGCGUAAAGCGAGCGCAGGCGGUCUUUUAAGUCUAAUGUGAAAGCCUUCGGCUCAACCGAAGAAGUGCAUUGGAAACUGGGAGACUUGAGUGCAGAAGAGGACAGUGGAACUCCAUGUGUAGCGGUGAAAUGCGUAGAUAUAUGGAAGAACACCAGUGGCGAAGGCGGCUGUCUGGUCUGCAACUGACGCUGAGGCUCGAAAGCAUGGGUAGCGAACAGGAUUAGAUACCCUGGUAGUCCAUGCCGUAAACGAUGAUUACUAAGUGUUGGAGGGUUUCCGCCCUUCAGUGCUGCAGCUAACGCAUUAAGUAAUCCGCCUGGGGAGUACGACCGCAAGGUUGAAACUCAAAAGAAUUGACGGGGGCCCGCACAAGCGGUGGAGCAUGUGGUUUAAUUCGAAGCUACGCGAAGAACCUUACCAGGUCUUGACAUCUUCUGACAGUCUAAGAGAUUAGAGGUUCCCUUCGGGGACAGAAUGACAGGUGGUGCAUGGUUGUCGUCAGCUCGUGUCGUGAGAUGUUGGGUUAAGUCCCGCAACGAGCGCAACCCUUAUUACUAGUUGCCAGCAUUAAGUUGGGCACUCUAGUGAGACUGCCGGUGACAAACCGGAGGAAGGUGGGGACGACGUCAAAUCAUCAUGCCCCUUAUGACCUGGGCUACCGUGCUACAUGGA